AAGGUAGGAAAAGCACGAGACGAUAAGCCUCACCAAUUCGACGGUAACAUCCGAAUUGGAUAUGCGGGGUCCAUCGCCUUACGGUGAAGGUCGAGAGAGUGAGAGACCGGCAAGAGCUACCCGUUCUUUUUGUUCUUUAAUCGCUUUUGGCAAAUAAAACACGAUGGGUUGACCGAGUUGCUCCGCGAGGGUGACGUGUGGGGGGGGGGGGACCUACGCGGUGAUUUUGUCACGGG
rnacentral:lncRNA from 1 species